GGUUGGAUGAGUCGCCCUGCAGAAAAGAACCAACUGUGUCAUGUUACAACAGCCAGGAGGCACUGCUGAGGUCAAGAAAAGGUGAAGAAAAUGCUAAAAGAUGGAAAUCUCUUGCUACUUAGUGUAUAUUAUAGCCUGGAGGGUGAUCUCGGACAGAUUGCACCACUAAUCCAGUGCCUAAUCAAAGAAAAGACGGCGCUACAGAACGCCAUAUGGUGCAGCGUGGUGACAGCCCCUGAAACACAUGAAAUGAACGUUACGUCUGACUGUUGAUACACUCAUACGUUCAUCUUUGAAUUAACUCCUACCUCUGUUUAGUCUAAACGUCUGCAGGAUCCCACUGAUUCUGACAUGGUCCUUAGAGCCACACUGCAUGAUGGGUACUGAGUGG
ensembl:lncRNA